UCCGAUAUGGUGUAACGGCUAACAUCGCCGCCUUUCAAUCUCCAAUUGACCGCGGCAGCUCGGGGUUCGAUUCCCCGUAUCGGAG